rnacentral:snRNA from 1 species
GUGCUCACUUCAGCAGCACGUAUUCUAAAAUUGGAAUGAUACAGAGAAGAUUAGCUUGGCCCCUGCACAAGGAUGGCACACAAAUUCAUGAAGCAUUCCAUAUUUUU